rnacentral:rRNA from 1 species
UCGACCAGCACGCCGACGGUAAUACGGUAGGUGGACAAGCGUUAUCCGGUAUUUAGUUGGGACGUAAAGAGAGUGCAGGCGGUUUUCUAAGUCUGAUGUGAAAGCCUUCGGCUUAACCGGAGAAGUGCAUCGGAAACUGGAUAACUUGAGUGCAGAAGAGGGUAGUGGAACUCCAUGUGUAGCGGUGGAAUGCGUAGAUAUAUGGAAGAACACCAGUGGCGAAGGCGGCUACCUGGUCUGCAACUGACGCUGAGACUCGAAAGCAUGGGUAGCGAACAGGAUUAGAUACCCUGGUAG